rnacentral:tRNA from 1 species
UCCGUUAUAGUCUAAAUGGUCAAGAUACUCGGCUCUCACCGGGAGAACCGGGUUCGAAUCCCGGUAACGGAG